GACGAACGCUGGCGGCGUGCUUAACACAUGCAAGUCGAACGGAAAGGCCCUGCUUUUGUGGGGUGCUCGAGUGGCGAACGGGUGAGUAACACGUGAGUAACCUGCCCUUGACUUUGGGAUAACUUCAGGAAACUGGGGCUAAUACAGGAUAGGAGCUCCUGAUGCAUGGUGGGGGUUGGAAAGUUUCGGCGGUUGGGGAUGGACUCGCGGCUUAUCAGCUUGUUGGUGGGGUAGUGGCUUACCAAGGCUUUGACGGGUAGCCGGCCUGGGAGGGUGACCGGCCCCAUUGGACUUGGGUUCCGCCCCGGCCUCCUCCGGAAGGCAGCGGUGGGAAAUAUUCCCCACUGGGCGGAGCCUGGAUCCAGCACCCCCGCGUGGGGAAUGCCGCCCUUCGGGUUGUAACCGGCUUUCCCCUGUACCGAGCCGUGGGUACCGUAAAUGGUUAAAAAGGCACGGGUUACUUACGU
rnacentral:rRNA from 1 species